rnacentral:rRNA from 1 species
UGGGGAAUAUUGCACAAUGGGGGAAACCCUGCUGCAGCGACGCCGCGUGAACGAAGAAGGUAUUCGUAUCGUAAAGUUCUGUCCUAUGGGAAGAUAAUGACAGUACCAUAGAAGAAAGCUCCGGCUAAAUACGUGCCAGCAGCCGCGGUAAUACGUAUGGAGCGAGCGUUGUCCGGAAUUAUUGGGCGUAAAGGGUACGCAGGCGGUUUAAUAAGUCGAAUGUUAAAGAUCGGGGCUCAACCCCGUAAAGCAUUGGAAACUGAUAAACUUGAGUAGUGGAGAGGAAAGUGGAAUUCCUAGUGUAGUAGUGAAAUACGUAGAUAUUAGGAGGAAUACCAGUAGCGAAGGCGACUUUCUGGACACAAACUGACGCUGAGGUACGAAAGCGUGGGGAGCAAACAGG